rnacentral:rRNA from 1 species
UACGUAGGGUGCGAGCGUUAAUCGGAAUUACUGGGCGUAAAGCGUGCGCAGGCGGUCUUUUAAGUCAGAUGUGAAAUCCCCGGGCUUAACCUGGGAACUGCGUUUGAAACUGGAAGGCUAGAGUGUGGCAGAGGGGGGUGGAAUUCCACGUGUAGCAGUGGAAAUGCGUAGAGAUGUGGAGGGACACCGAUGCGAAGGCAGCCCCUGGGCUAACACUGACGCUCAUGCACGAAAGCGUGGGGAGCAAACAAGG